AAACGACCCAGGGCCCGCCCAGUUCCACGAGAUAGUGUCUCGGGGUGUGCAACUGUACAGAGAGUGCUUCCGGGCCCGAACUAUUCGCAGUUGUGUUUAUGAUCAUACCCUCUAUGAUCAAACAAAGAUUCAAAUGCAGCUAGGAAUUUAUUACAUUUAUUGGGAGGAGCUAUUGCGCUUGUUUCCAAGGCAACAAAUUCUCGUUUUUCACAACGAGGAUAUGCGAGAUAAAGAACGCACAGUGAGAACCAUGUACGACUUUCUGGGAUUACCUAAGCUAGAUGCAGGAGAAAUGGCGGAUGUAGUCAACGCGAAAGAAUCUUACCAGAGGAGAGAAUCGUUCAAAGCCAAGGGUCCUAUGUGGAACGAAACAUACGCCAUUCUUCACGACUUUUACCAUCCAUUUAACGAGAAGAUGGUUGCACUUACUGGGGAUUCAAAGUUUUUAAAGCCGGGAUCGUAGAUGUGUUGUAGCCGAUCUUUAAGAAUUUAUUUCAAUUGUGAUAUAUUUUAGCUGUUAGAGAAGCAGACUUGUUCUAGUCUUAAAUUUAACUUAAGGGUUCUUACUGUUCUGUAAAGGUUAUAUACCGUUCCGUUUCUGUCUUCGGAAUUCCUCGGCCAUAUACCAUCGAAAACAACCUUCGAUGAAAAAUGGUCGAAGAGUUCCGAAUGCGUUUUUGUCAGAACAUCUCGUACGGCACAUCUGUUGCAUAAGUGUCAAUUUAAGGGACUCGCUCAUGCGUUGGGACAAAAAAAAAUCCCGGUAAGGCAUCUGAAAACAUUUGUUUUAUCAUUAUUUUACUAUAUAAUAUCGAAAUUGCAGAAAAAUACAAUUAAAGUAUAAAAGAAUAUUUUUAAUUAGGUGCGAACCCACGCCGAAUACCGACGCCUUAACCAUAAGGCCACAAGGAUUUAAACAAAAAAUAUGGAUAGUUUGACCUUUUAACAAUACAUUGAUAACAUCGCGUGAUAUUGAUAAUGUCAAUCGAUCAAUCACACAACAACAAAUCGCUGAAAUCCGUUAGUAACGCUUCUGAAAAUUGUGGUCUUUUAAGACGAUAUUUGAGCAAAUAUCAUCAUUAAUUUUGCUAAAGGGUUCUGGCUCUUGGUAUUUUAGUUUUAACACUCCUCGAGAUUCCCCACACUUUAUUUCUCUAUACAAUAAAAUGCAUAUUACAAAAACAUGAGCAAGUCUCUUUAGUGCGAAUUUGACGGAUUUUGGUUGAACGAUGCAACGCUGAAAUUUUGGCCAAAGACUGCAUCAUUAAAAUACAAGCAAUUCGAAAAAAGUCAUACGUGUAGAAGCAGAAAAUAGCAUAGCCUUUUACAUGCUAAGAAAUAUGUUAAUAUGUUUUCUUUAAAAAAAGUUAUUAAGGAAUUAAAGUCACUUACUUGAUUGUUUACAUCGGUUGUGACCCGUGGAGACCCAUGUGAGAACCCCUUUGAAGUCAAGUGAUUCCUCACCCGGAUACGGUGAUUGCUCAGUUGCUAUAUUUAGCACUGAUAUUGUGUUUUUAAAAUGAAUGUGUGUUUUUUACUGUGUGGUACAGUUUAAAAGGUGGUGAUGCCAACACAUAACACACUCGCUACUCAAAAGAAAGGCAAUCGAAAGCAAGUAGUUUGAUGGCCAUUCGCAUCCACAUUGAAAAGAUCUCAUGCGGGGUUUUUUUAAAGGGCCUAAAAGGGUACAAGUUAGACCUUUGAUGGUUGGACACUUCAGUUACUGAACUAUUUGUUUAACUUCCGUGCAAUUUGGAAUUUGCAUUCCACUAUUUUGUUCUGAACAGUGCAUCAUUGUUCAGAAUGUCAACUUGUUUACAACUGCUGUUUCAUGUCGAUCAUUAGAACGCUUUGCAUGUGCUUCUUUUAUUUAAUAUUAUAUAUUUUAUCACAUGCUAUACCUUGUUUCCGGUAUGAAAAAAUACCGCGUAUUUUCCUGCAUAUAAUAGGGUUAUUAGAACUACAUUUUGAGCCGUAAUGUCGUAUUCGACUCGUGUGGAUAUUUGCAGAUUCGGAUUUCACGAGGCGCAAGCCGAAUGAAAUCAAAAUCUGCAAACAUCCACGAGAGUCGAAUACGACAUUACGGAUCAAAACGCACUACUAAUAACCCUUUUAUUAUAUACAUUACUGGUUAGACGACUUAAAAGCUACAUGUUUUAACGAGGCACUUUUUUGUUUCAUGGCGUCAUAUUAACAUCGCGCAACGAUACAUGUUAUGACGUGACGUCACAUGGGUGGAAUACGGCCGUAUUGCCCUGGAGUGGAAUACGGACAACCGUGUUUUGCGAUUUGUAUUGCUUGUGGAUUUAUGAUGGGUAUAUAUAAUAAAUGUAUGUAUUUAUACAUGCUUAAUAUAAUAUUUCUAUGUUUAAGCAAGCUCUUUGAAACACA